rnacentral:rRNA from 1 species
GACGAACGCUGGCGGCGUGCCUAAUACAUGCAAGUCGAACGAACUCUGGUAUUGAUUGGUGCUUGCAUCAUGAUUUACAUUUGAGUGAGUGGCGAACUGGUGAGUAACACGUGGGAAACCUGCCCAGAAGCGGGGGAUAACACCUGGAAACAGAUGCUAAUACCGCAUAACAACUUGGACCGCAUGGUCCGAGCUUGAAAGAUGGCUUCGGCUAUCACUUUUGGAUGGUCCCACGGCGUAUUAGCUAGAUGGUGGGGUAAUGGCUCACCAUGGCAAUGAUACGUAGCCGACCUGAGAGGGUAAUCGGCCACAUUGGGACUGAGACACGGCCCAAACUCCUACGGGAGGCAGCAGUAGGGAAUCUUCCACAAUGGACGAAAGUCUGAUGGAGCAACGCCGCGUGAGUGAAGAAGGGUUUUGGCUCGUAAAACUCUGUUGUAAAAGAAGAACAUAUCUGAGAGUAACUGUUCAGGUAUUGACGGUAUUUAACCAGAAAGCCACGGCUAACUACGUGCCAGCCGCCGCAGUAC